GUGCAUAUUUAUAAUAGGUGUUUAAAAUGCUUUUCUGCUAUUCCAACAUUUGGGUUAUUCAGGUGAGGGGUUGGUCUAUUGUCUGCUUUUUCCCCUGAGAGACUCUGGAUUUUAUAACCUUGAAGAGUGGUGAUUUUUGUCGUAGCCAGUAGUUAGUUAAUUUGCCUGGGUUUAAACUCUAAACUCUGUCUUCCCUGAAAUGAACAGCUACUGAAACUGCUUUGUUCUUUUGGCCUUUCCUCCCUGUUGCAUUUGAUGCAAAACCUUGAAGUUCCUGGUGGAAGAGGCCAUGGAGGGAACAUGACCGCUGGUUGACCUGAGAGCUGGACCCUGGCAAUGGGAGGCUCCUUACCCCUCCACUGGCCUUGGAAUGUGGGUUUCGCUUACUCUUCUCACACUAGGAGCCCCCUCAAGGACACAGCCUUGAGAGGGUAAUGUGUUGAGAUCUUCUGGAAGAUAUAAGUGACUGAUUCCCGUUACAGCUUCUACGUAAAUUCAAGAUCCGGGCGCAUGGUGCCAACACCAACUCAUCUUGCAGCCACCCAAGAGAGAAGCCUGAUACAGGGACAGAAAACCAACCAAAAAGUGGGGCAAUCUGAAAACAGCAAAACUGGAGGGGUUUCUCAGAAUUUCUCAGAAUCAUGACCUGAGCCGAAAUCAAAAAUUGGUCGUUUAACCAACUGAAUCACCCGGGCACCCCCAAGAAUUCUUGAUACUAAAAGAUGGAAGCUUUUUGCCAAGUCAGUCUUGAACCAGGAGAAAAUUCUGGUAAUAGAAUCCAAACUCAAAACAUUGAUAACAAGUUCCAAAGGAAAAUGUUCAUCCAGGACUCAGAAUGUGGGAAAAAAAGGGCCAGAUAGUAAAUUUCCAAGCUUUAUUGUGGGACAUAUAUAGUCUCUGUUGGAUCAUCUACCUCCCUUCCUUUCUUCCUUCCUCUUUUUCUUUUCUAUUUUUCUAAACAAUAUUUUGAAAAUGUGAAAAAAAUUCUUAGCUAGAAAGCAGUACAACAAACAGGCCAGAGGUCCACAUUUCAUCUAUCAGCUGUAGUUCGCCUUCCUCGUCUAGGUAAAAUUAUGAAAGGAAAGCAAAGGAAACCAUUCUCAGAAGGUAGGACUCCAUGUUGUUUUCAUCACUUUGUGAAAACAACAAAAGAGGGAGCUCUAGAGCCAUGAACUUGGUUCAUCCCUUCUUUCAAAAAGGACCUGAAAGGGUUUUUUACUUAAAAUUGAGCAACAGAAAAAGCGAGUUGAGUCUCAUACCAAUUUAAUAUUGGAAAAAGGACAGUAAGGAACAGCAGAACAUCCCUACAGAUUAGGAAAACAGUCCAGAGGCAUGCCCACAAAGAAAUGAAAACUGUAACCUAAUACUUCAAAACAAAAUACAUUAAGAACAUAAUCGAGUAUGUGGAUACACAACAUAAACUAGAAUGACAAAAAUGCAGAUGUAUGCUGUUCUGAAGAACACUAUUAGCAAAAUGUUUUUUAAAUAUAUAGGUAUAAACAGUUAAAUCCUGGUUCCAACUUUCUAAUAAUGUGGGCAUAAGAAAGUAACCCUCCCUCUCUAGUCUCUUAGGUCCUAGGGAGGAUCUCUAGUUUUGUAAAAGAUAGAAUCGAAUAUUGCCUUAACGGUCUGUUCCUUCUCUUUUUGGGCAUUUUUGCCUAAGAGCCAAUCUUACCUUCUUUGAAACCAUCCAAUGAUUGAAGUGUGUAUUUAAAUGAUAGACAUUUAUUUUGUGUGGAAUUUUACUGAAUAGGUCAUGAUAAUAGAAAUAAUAUUUAUAAUUUCAGAAGUUGGAAUAAAUAAGCAAAUUAUGUGGGUGAGGUGUUUUUAAUAAACAAAUUAUAUGGGUGAGAGGGAUAUUAUUAUUCAGCCCAUUGUUGCUUUGAUCAAAUCUCAGGGGGUGAUUAAAUCUACUGAAAUUUAUCAAAUUUAUCAUUUAUCUGAAAGAUGACCUUUCUUAAACUACCUAGUGCACUUAAUCCAUUAUAUGAAUGCACACCAUUUCAGGAGGAGAGGAUUUCCAUUUUUCUAAUAUUACCCUUCUUGCAAUCAAUGCUAUUCUCAAGAGGAUUUGUUUUCUCAUGGACUAGAUGUUCUUUGUAAAUUCUCAACAUGACCUAAUAUAAAAAUCAAUACAUCUUUAGGUAAGUUCAUUUCUAUUAUUAGAUCUCACUGUAGUUUCACACUAACGUGUUUCGAAAUAUAAGCAGCGCCCUACCACAGGGCAUGGCUUUUUCCUGGUAAUGCAUUAAAUUUCAUUAUGGUAAAAACCAUUAUAACAACAAUAAAAUCCACCACAGGUUUAAAAAAAGUCUCUUGGCUCCAGACGAUUGCCAACAAUGUUUAUGCUUUAAUGUGCUCAUUACAAUACCAGUCUUAAUGAAAUUGAAAAGUGCUUUGUCCGGUAUGUCUCUGUUUGUGAUGUCCCCCACCCUUGAAAAAGGAGCGUAGAUUUUUCUAGCUUAGCAAGGACUAAAGGAAGCGUUUACUGUGGCACUGAGUGAGGAGGGGGGGACAGCUUCUCUGGACUCCCACAGCCAAAGAGGAGCAAAGCAGUACACACAGCAUUGCUUGCAUGAUAAAUUAGCAGGAGCAAUUUAUUUCUUGGACUAAAGAAAUUAUGGUUAAUUCUGUAUUUUGCAUAUUCAUGAAGGAACCUACUCAAAUUAAAGAAAAGGUGCCAAGAGAAGUCCUGGGGCACUUGAGGUCUGUUUUAUUUUAGUCUGAUCCUGAUGGAGGAGGUGAUUAAUUAUCCUGCAACUUGGUUUUUCUAGCCAUAAUAAUUAGAACAUUCCAGCACAAAGAAAGAAUUCAGACAUUCUUUGAAGUGGUUGUAGAAGGAUUUGCCUUGGACUGUAAUUUUUCUAGAAUCUAGAGGACACAGAACACAUCAGCGGUUGCAUUUUCUAUUGAUCUUACUGUCCCAUCCAAGCACAACUGUUCAUAAUUGUCAUAUGUAUUUGAAGCUGUGUGGCUUUCUAUUGAUUGCCCAAGUUUUUCAUUAUCCAUUAAAAUUUUUUCACUUUCA